CAACUUCCGAGGCGCCCUCAUUGCCAGCCGGACCCCAGCCUCCGACAGGUUCGGGCGCCCUGCUUGCCCCGUGCUUCGCCGGCCCCCGCCCAGCGCCCGGCCCCUCCGGCUCCACUCCGCUCGCUCGGUCGGUCGCUCCGACGCCAUGGACACGUUUUGGUGGCGCGCAGCUUGGGGACUCUGCCUCGUGCAGCUGAGCCUGGCGCAGAUCGAUCUGAAUAUAACCUGCCGAUAUGCAGGCGUAUUCCACGUGGAGAAGAAUGGUCGCUACAGCAUCUCCAAGACUGAGGCUGCCGACCUCUGCAAGGCCUUCAAUAGCACGCUGCCCACCAUGGCCCAGAUGGAGGUGGCCCGGAGCAUAGGGUUUGAGACCUGCAGGUACGGGUUCAUAGACGGGCAUGUGGUGAUUCCCCGGAUCCACCCCAAUUCCAUCUGUGCUGCGAACAACACAGGGGUUUACAUCCUCACAUCCAACACCUCCCAGUAUGACACGUACUGCUUCAAUGCCUCAGCUCCACUUGGAGAAGACUGUACCUCAGUCACGGACCUGCCCAAUGCCUUUGAAGGACCCAUUACCAUAACUAUUGUAAACCGCGAUGGCACCCGUUAUACCAAGAAAGGCGAAUACAGAACGAACCCCGAAGACAUCAACCCCAGCAUCGUGAGCCCCAGCAGCCCUCCUGAUGAUGAGAUGAGCAGUGGCUCCCCCAGCGAGAGAAGCACGUCAGGAGGCUACAGCAUCUUCCACACGCACCUCCCAACUGCGUACCCACCCCCAGACCAAGACAGCCCCUGGGUCUCCAGCAAACCAGAGAAUACCUCGGAUACCACUCAGAUACUAAAGCAAGUCACCGCAACAGGUACGGAUUCAAGUAUCAUCUCAGCAGGCUGGGAGCCAACUGAAGAAAAUGAAGAUGAAAGAGACAGACACCCCAGUUAUUCUGGAUCAGGCAUUGAUGAUGAUGAAGAUUUUAUCUCCAGCACCAUUUCAACCACACCACGGGUUUUUACCCACCCACAACAGAACCCGAAUUGGAUCCAAAGGAACCCAGACCAUUCGAAUCCAGAAGCAUCACCUCAGACAACCACAAGGAUGACUGAUGUGGACAGAAGUAGCACCAGUGCUUAUGGAGAACGCUGGACCCAGGAACCGCACUCUUCUCUCAGUCACCAUGGGUAUCAGGAUGAAGAGGAGACCCCGCAUCCUACAAGCACAACCCAGGCACCCACUACUAGUACAGCAGAAGAAACAGCUACCCAGAAAGAGCAGUGGUUUGAGAAUGGAAGGCCUGGGGAAUAUCCCCAAACACCAAAAGAAGACUCUCAUUCAACAGCAGGGACAACUGUCACAGCAGCCUCAACGCAUGUCAGCCAUCCCCGUCAAAGAGUGACAACGCAGAGCCAAGAGGACAGUUCCUCGACUUACUUCUUCGACCCAGUCUCGCAUCCAAUGGGGCGAGGUCAUCGAACAAAAGGAAGGAUGGAUAGGAACGAUGGAAGAAGAGGUGGAAAUCUUCCUGAAGAUGCAACUACUUCAGUGGAAGGUUACACUCAUUCUCCAGAUACAAAUGAAUACACAACCCUCACCCCAAUGACCCCCACUAAGACUGGGUCCCCUGGAGUUACUGAAGUUACUGUUGUUGGAGAUUCCACCUCUAAGGCUGAUCUUACUUUACCAGGAGACUAUGGCUCGUCCCACGACCCCAGUGGAAGGUCCUAUACAACUCAUGCAUCUGAAUCAGCUGGACACUCAAGUGGGAGUGAAGACCAUGGGGCAAACACAACCUCAGGUCCUAUACGGAAACCUCAAAUUCCGGAAUGGCUGAUCAUCUUGGCAUCUCUCCUGGCCUUGGCUUUGAUUCUCGCGGUUUGCAUUGCUGUCAACAGUAGGAGAAGGUGUGGGCAGAAGAAAAAACUGGUGAUCAACAAUGGGAAUGGAACCAUGGAGGAGAGAAAGCCUAGCGGACUCAACGGAGAAGCUAGCAAGUCUCAGGAGAUGGUGCAUUUGGUGAACAAGGGGUCGUCAGAGACCCCAGACCAGUUUGUGACGGCAGAUGAGACACGGAACCUGCAGAAUGUGGAUAUGAAGAUUGGGGUGUAACACCUACUCUGUGACCUUGGAAAUAAACCACCAUUGGAGACACAACCAUUACAGGGAGCUGGGACACUUCACAGAUGCAGUGUGCUACUGAUUGUUUCAUUGGGGAUCUUUUUUUUUAGCA
rnacentral:lncRNA from 1 species